CGGGACGGGUGAGUAACGCGUGGAUAACCUGCCUCACACUGGGGGAUAACAGUUAGAAAUGGCUGCUAAUACCGCAUAAGCGCACAGUACCGCAUGGUACGGUGUGAAAAACCCAGGUGGUGCGAGAUGGAUCCGCGUCUGAUUAGCCAGUUGGCGGGGUAACGGCCCACCAAAGCGACGAUCAGUAGCCGACCUGAGAGGGUGACCGGCCACAUUGGGACUGAGACACGGCCCAA
rnacentral:rRNA from 1 species